rnacentral:lncRNA from 10 species
CAAACAUCACAAGGUUACCAGAAAUGGUAAACUGCCCCCAUGAGGCCGGAAAGCCCUGUCCCAGCCCAGGGGUGAAAAAACUGUGUCCUAGAUUGGAGAAAGGACUUACCCAAAGAUACACAUUGGGUAAAUGGUAAAACCAGGACUGCUACUCAGGUUUCCUGACUCCUGGGUCCAAAGGCCAUUCCACUUCCAUGUGACUAUCUCCUAAACAUCCUGAUUGGAUAGAAAAUAUCCUAUCCCCUUUUCCCCUCCAUUAGAACCUCUAGGAUAAAAGGCCAAUGGAAGCCUUCUUCCUCCCACCUUUGACCUUAAUCCCUGAGGAGGGUCUGAAGAGAAUGGGAUGGGCAGAUCCAAGCCACCCUUGGCUGCCAUGGACUCUGCCCCAGCUUGAGAAUCCAAGAAGAGAGGGCAAAUGGAUACCAUACCUGUCAGUGGAGUGGUGCCUUGGUCAUGGAGGGGACUCUGAUUCCCCAGUGCUGAGCCAACCUGCAGGGGCCAGAUGGAAUUGGGCUUUCUGCCGUGAGCAAGAAGCUUCUGUGUUUUGAAGGGCCCUUGGUGUCUUCAACAGGAAACAGAAAUGAGGAAGAUAAGACUGAGGUUAGCCAACGGAAAUCUGGAUGCAAAAUGACAAAACAAUGCUGUUGUGAAAGGGUCUGCUACUGCAGCAAUAGUAGCAGGCCACUGCCCUGCCUCCACCAACUCCCAGCUGACCUUCAACAGACACUAACUUUCCAAGCUGCAGAGAGAGAGAGAGUAGAAAGCACCUGGCUGCCCUAGGCUCUGCCUGUGGGUCAAGGAGGUUUUCCCAGAAUAAUUGAGGGAAACCUGGAAUACCAGAACUGAGACAUUAUCUAAUGAAAAAACCCGUAGUCAAAAUUGAGAAACAGAGCCUCUGAGGGAUAAAAGGAAAUACUCAGUAUCACAAAGCAAAUUAGUGGAAAGCUGAAAUUUAAACCCAUCCCCAUGGACUCCAAAU